rnacentral:lncRNA from 1 species
UUUAGAAACUUCAGUUUGACUAGACAAGUGCAUAUAAAUCUGUGCUCAAGAAAAAUGUGAUUUUAAAGGAGAUUAUGACCACUACAGAGAUGUUAAGCACUUUGUACAGACACAAUAGGAAAGAUGGCUGAGGGCAUCUCAGGAAUUUGCAAGACAGCACACAUUGCCUACUGGAUAAUGUGGAGGAAAAAAACCCUUUGAGAAAAGAUCUUGGUGGCACCCUGCUUCCACCAGGGGGCCUAGGAAAUUGUUUCACACGGCUCAGCCAUGCAGGGCCUAAGAUACUGCUGUCAUGAUUACAGGGGCCCCUGGUACUUCCCCAACUGGUAGCAGACAUUAACAUCAUCUACAGGGUGUCUCUUCUGCUGAAAUACAGAAUGCUCAAGGUCAGGGCCAUGGAAGCUUCCACCAAGAUUUCAAUGGAAUGACUGGGAGGCCAGGCAAAGUGUAGCAGGAUCAAAAUCCCUAUUGGUUGACCAUGAAGGGGUGAUGCAUGAAGUUGUGAUCAUAACAACAAAGCUGAAAUGAAGAUCCCAGGAAUUAAGAGAUGCCUGUAAUAUGAACUUACCACUGAAAAGAUCUUCUGACUGUGCAGAGACUCAGACUAUUGAGAACAUGUGUGCACUGCAACUAGGAAGACUAAAGAGGCAGGGCUGUCCAAAUCUUUUGGAAAUCACAUCUUACCACCAAGUUUCCCAGAUGCCAGAGGUGGAGAUAUAAGGCUUAUUUGUUUGGUUGAGUUUUGGUCGUGUUUUCGUUGUCCCAUCACUUUUGUCUCUGUCUGUAUUUGUCCAUUUUGGAAUGGAAGAUUUACUCUUUGCUUCUGUACAUUGGAUAUAUUUAACCUUUUUACUAUUUAUUUAUUUAUCUUUUUAAGGUUAUGUAAUUUUUAAAUUUGUUCUAAUUAGUUAUACAUGACAGUAGAAUGUAUUUUGGACACAUCAUAUAUAAAUGGAGUGUAACUUCCUCAUGGUUCAUGUUGUAGAAUCACACUGAUUGUAUAAUCAUAUAUGCACAUUCCUACGCCCAUACCCUCACCCCUCUUUACUCCCGUCUGCCUAAUCAAAAGUACCUAGUCCCCACUUAUCGUGAACUAACAAUAAAUUUGUUUUUGAUCUUUACAAUGACUCA